GGGCGUUUGGCACAGUGGUAGCGCGCACGCUUUGCAUCCGAACUUGCGUGAGGUCCAGGGUUCAAGCCCCUGAACGUCCA